AGAGUAUCGCCUUGAAUCCACAGGAACAAAUAUCGCUGGUAUCGCCAAAUAAUCCACACAUGAGCCAAAGCUUAAUGCUGGAACAAGACUGAUUUAAUGGAAGCAACAGGCCUUCAAUUUAUACAGUACCAGCUCCUCCUCUGGGCCAGGCUAGAUAAUUGAGUAUCAGCAACAUACUUAACUCAAUUAUCUGCUUGCCAGAAAUAUUAAAAAUUUUCAACAUUUUUAGAAAUAUACUUUUUACAUGAUAUAACAAUAUAAAAAACACAUCCCUGGGUAGCUGAGGAUACUG